AUCGGCUACACAUUUCCGCGAACACCGCUGAGCUCUACCUUCUCCCCUACUGGUUUUACAGCUGCAGAGACUAAGUCCCAUUCGGCGAUGGGACAUAGUCAUUUUUUCAGCCGUUUUUUACAGCCUUAUUUCAGCUGCAGAGACUAAGUCCCAUUCGGCGAUGGGACAUAGUCAUUUUUUCAGCCGUUUUUUACAGCCUUAUUUCAGCUGCAGAGACUAAGUCCCAUUCGGCGAUGGGACUUAGUCGUUUUUUCAGCCUGAAAUAGACCGACCGCACAGCCCAAAUCUAU